rnacentral:ncRNA from 1 species
AAGGGGGGGCUUAUAUGGAUAAGCUGAGAUAGAAAUGUUAUUUCUGACCCUAAGAACCUGAUUUGGAUAAUGCCAACGAAGGGAGUUAGC